rnacentral:rRNA from 1 species
UACGUAGGGUGCGAGCGUUAAUCGGAAUUACUGGGCGUAAAGCGUGCGCAGGCGGUUUUGUAAGCCAGAUGUGAAAUCCCCCGGGCUUAACCUGGGAAUGGCAUUUGGGACUGCAAGGCUUGAGUGCGGCAGAGGAGACUGGAAUUCCUGGUGUAGCAGUGAAAUGCGUAGAGAUCGGCAGGAACACCCAGGGGGAAACCAGCCAACUGGGCAUCGUACUGACGCUGAGGUGCGAGAGCGUGGGGAGCAAACAGG